rnacentral:rRNA from 1 species
CAGUCGCCACGGGAAUACGAAGGGUGCAAGCGUUAAUCGGAAUUACUGGGCGUAAAGCGUGCGUAGGCGGUUUGUUAAGUCUGCUGUGAAAUCCCCGGGCUCAACCUGGGAAUGGCAGUGGAUACUGGCAAGCUAGAGUGUGUCAGAGGAUGGUGGAAUUCCCGGUGUAGCGGUGAAAUGCGUAGAGAUCGGGAGGAACAUCAGUGGCGAAGGCGGCCAUCUGGGACAACACUGACGCUGAAGCACGAAAGCGUGGGGAGCAAACAGGAUUAGAUACCCGCGUAGUCCCUGUCUCUUAUAC